rnacentral:lncRNA from 1 species
UGGCGUAUGCGCAGGGAUCUCGCUGAGCAUUAAAUUCUCCUCGGUUAAGCCACGCCCCCUCGUCGGUUAAGCCCCGCCUUUUCGCCCCCUCCCGAUUUCUGUUUGGUGUAGGCCUGAAGGAGUGAUGGAGCAUCUGAUGGGGGUGUGAACAGCCCAGGGAACACAGGUGGAAGCAAUUCCCCUGUGGGGUGGGAAGGGGAGGAGCCAAAGCCCACCCUGAGCUCAUUUAAAGGCUGGAAGCUGAAGGGGGAGGAUCAGUGCUUGGUGGUUGCUCUGGCUGUUUGGUAAGCACCAAAACAGUUUGCUGGACUGGAGACUCAACCAUCAGAUGCCGUUGUUAUUCCUGGUCUCCCCAGAUUGCAACGUUGGAUGUGCCCUGAUCCUUGGAAAGGGGUAAGUGAUUCCUUCAUCCUUACCAGAAGGUGAUCUCUACUUACCUUAUCUUGUGUCCAUCAGGUGGCAGUGGAGAGUUGUGACCCUCCCGAGCGGUGCAAGGAUUCUACUGAGGCUCUUGGUGGACACAGUAGGAACCCACAGCCUGAGAUGGACGCCAAGAUCCACUCCUUCCUUUGUCUGGCAAGCUCUGCUGACCCGUGAGGUCAUUCCCAUGCUUGCAGAGGUCCUGUGGGCUUGGUGUUGGUUGUCCUUUGUGCUCACCUUGCUGUCACUGGCUGUUCUUCCUUUACCCAUCUUUAGGGCUCCUCAGUUCUGGUGGGAUCUCAGUACCCACUGCUGAUUCCACCAAACCUUGAUCUCUUUUUUUUCUUUUUGAGUUCAGUAUUGUUUCUUUUACUUACUGUUCUUACUUGAAAGAUAUUGGUUUCUAGAGCCUUCUGUCAAUAGGAAAACUGUAAUGUAAGGGCUGGAAGCAAUGAUUGACAACCUGGUGCAGGAUUUAAACAGCUGGUGCACAGGUGAUGUAAUUAACCUGGAGGUGGGACUGGGUGGAGCCAGAGCCCACCCUGAGCUCAUUUAAAGGCUGGAAGCUGAAGGGGAGGGGUCUGUGCCUGGUGGUUGCUCUGGCUGUUUGGUUGGGUGAGUGCUGAGCCUUGGGAAGGGCUACGUUGUUGUUGUUUCUUUGCUUGAUGCUGAUCUGUUUGUUUUUGGUUCAGUGUUGAGCAGAAGGUUCUGGACACCAGGACUUCUUCCAGGCGGUGUGAGGACUCCACUGAGGACCUUGGUGGACGCAGCUGGAAGCCACAGCCAAGGCUGGACACCAACAUCCACACUUGAUCUUGUCUGGCAAGAUGUAUUGCUCCCAGAGAGUGUUCUUGCUCUUCCGGUGGUUUGAUGGGAUUGGUGUCAGUUUGUACUCAUGCUCACUGGGCUUUCCAGGGGUGUUCUACUUGCAUUACACCAUCUUUCCCACCCUCUAUUUCCAAGUAGGAGCUCCCCUUGGCCUCCAUGUCUCGCUCUGGCCAGGCAGAUGUGGUGUGCCAAUGGUACACAGAGUCCAGACCCUGAGCAGAAGAACAGCUGAGGAGAGAGGCUGCCCUGGGUGAGACAGGAGAAGUGCCCCUUGAAGUGGGGGACGCCCCGCUGGUGCUGCCUCUCGCAUCCACCGGCAGCAUGUUCCUUUUAAAUUAUAUUCUCUCUUCUGAUCUCAGUUUGCUGCUCAAUGGGGUUUAAGGAUUGUUAGGGCUCCUCUAAUCGGUGGUGUGAGGCCUGUGGAGCAGGUAAUGGAACAUCACGAGUCCCAUGUUGGUGCAUUGCUUGUGUGCAGGUAGGUUUGCGGUGACUGUAGGAAGCUCACUUAGAGAUUGAAUGGGGUUGCGAGGGGCUCACCUCAAUGCAGGGGGUCUGUUAUCUCAUCCCAAUGAGCCUCAUGGCUGAUGAUAGAGUGAGGUGCAUCAGCCGGGACCUGAAGAACACUCCUGAACCCCAGUGGCCAUUUGCUUCAACCUCACUCAGUAUAAUACAGUCUGCACCACUUGAGCAUACUGACCACAGGUAUUCUGUUCCUGUUUGCUGCUUCUCUCAUGUAUCUCCCUUACUGAUUCGUCAGUGAAAAUGGAUCCCAGGGCAUCACUCUCAGAGCACAUCACGGCUGACUACCCCAGGGUCUUACUGUCAUUUCUGUUUCAGCAGAAGAUCUGGGUUUGUGUUAAUAAAAAAGAAAGGGUUGUCCUCUUCUGGAUGACUAUGGUCGGGAUCUCUCCAUAUAACUCAUCCCAAUUGUCAGGAGAUGCUAUUUGUUUCCUAAUCUGUAUGAUACCCUGUAUGAUAUUGGCCCUGCCUGGAAGGGAGGUUGGAGAUUCAUGAUCCUUGAGGUCCCUUCCGACCCAGACCAUUCUUCCUCCCCAUGCCUCUUCCUCCCAUCCCCUGACCCCCAUUAAGUAGCUUAUAAACAGCAUUAAUUAUAUCCCUAAUG